ACUUCACCACAAAACAAACAAAACCUUUUUCUUGUUAUGUAGCCCAUAAAUACAUACACAUACUAUGUGCCCACAAACAUUAAAAAUCCAACAUUUAAGACAAAACAAAAACAACAGAAAACCUUUUUCUGAGGAGUCCCUAGGCUUCACCAGUUGGCCAAAACUGGAGCUUGAGUGCUGAGACUUUAUUGAGUGCAUACCCACAAUGCAUUGCAACAAAAUAAUUUUCGUCUUUAAAAUUACUUUCCCCUUUUUCCUUUAACCUAUCUUUCCUGAAACCGAGAUUACUAUUCCAGAAUUGACUGAAUAAAAGGAAAUCGUAUGAAGAAAAGGCGAAGUCAGUAUCUCUUCUGGACGGAAAGAAAGUUACCAUUACCCAGUUAGGAGUAGCAAUUAUCUGAGAACUGAGUGCUGACUUCUUAACAUGCGAGUUAGCUUCAAAUCACAAAGACUUUUCGGUUUUUAUUAACGAUUGUCGUGGAACAAGAUGAGCAUGAGUGUAAUGUUUUUGAAGCCUUCAUUUGGAGUAGGGCUUACUUCAGUGUUUUUAAACUAGGCGCGCUGAAAGAGUCGUCACUGAGGGUGAAAAACGGAAUAAGUACACAAAACGCCGAGUUCUCAGACCCUUGAAAAUGUUUAUCUGUAGCGUUUAGUACCUGAGCCGGCGGGUUCUUGGGGCCUUGGAGGAAAGAAGGAAAAUUACCGUCCGAUGGGCUUGAAUGUCAAGGUUUGGAGCCAGUGGAACAGGUAUGGACUGUGGGCAAUUGCCUCAGGAGCUGAGCCUCGGGUCAGGAUUUUUUUGUUUUGCUUUUUUGAGACAGAGUGUCGCUCUGGAGUGCAGUGGCGCCAUCUCGGCUCACUGCAACCUCCGUUUUCCUGGUCCAAACGAUUCUCUGCGUCAGUCUCCCAAGUAGCUGGGAUUAUUACAAGCGUGAAGCCAGGCUAAUUAUUGUAUUUUUAGUAGAGACGGUGUUUCACCAUAUUGGCCCGGCUGGUCUCGAGCUACUGACCUCAGGUGAUCCAACCGCCUCGGCUUCCCAAAGUGCUGGGGUUACAGGCGUGAGCCACCAAGCCCGGCCUUGGGUCAGAAUAUUUUGUGACGGAUUUCCUCCCUCCUUUACCGGGGCAGAGACCCUGCUAGUUUUCCUGUCCCGUGCUCAACCUCUCUCUCCUAGAAUCUCACAGCAUUAGCGGGGCUCACAGCUACCUGAAGGCAUGACUACAUUUCCCAGUCUCCCUUGCGGUCGAGACCUAGCCCUCUGGAAAGAGUGAUUGGAAAAUUCACUGCGUCUUGAGUUUAACCAACGGUUGGGUCUGGGGAGGACGAGCUGCGCUCCUGGCACCACUCCACCAGAUAUGAAGUCUUGGCCUUCCAAAGUACUAGGUUUACAGGCGUGAGCCAUCAUACCUGGCCUGAAAUUUCUACUUUUAAAAGUAGAGCUUCAAUUCCAGCUCCAUACUGCAUGAAACUGUGGAAUCAGGGUGCUUGAAUACAGUCUGAACUUCAGCCAAACCAAGGGAGAUUUGAAACCCAAGAGAAACUGCCAGUGAGUCCCGCCAGCCUUGAUGAGGUCGGAUGAGUGAAAGCUGUUCCUGCGGGUACCAAAGCUCAGAAUGUUGGCAAAACAGCAUGGACUGUGGGAGGCUUGCCUCGGAUCCAUCUGUGGGUCACCAAAAUGUCAACCUAAUAUCAUCAAAAGGGUUAGAAUCUAAUUUAAAUAGUGUUUAUUCAAGCACAAAAUGUGAGGACGGACAACAUGGAAAUACUGACUCCAAAGGAAUGGAGUCAGUGUUCCAAAGCACAUAGAGACAGAGGAGUUUUUACAGGAUUAUAGCAUUUGCCCCUUCCCUCCCCUCCCAUCCCCUUCUUGACGGAAUCUCACUCUGUUGCCCGGGCUGGCAUGCAAUGGCUCCAUCUCGGCUCACCGCAACCUCUGCCUCCCAGAUUCAAGCAAUUCUCCUGUCUCAGCCCCCUCCACCCAAAAUAGCUGGGAUUACAGAUGUGCACCACCAUGCCAGGCAAAUUUUUGUAUUUUUAGUAGAGAUGGGGUUUCACCAUGUUGGCCAGGCUGGUCUUGAACUCCUGACCUCAGAUGAUCCUCCUGCCUUGGCCUCCCAAAGUCAAAGUGCUGGGAUUAUAGGUGUGAGCCACUGUGCCCAGCCUUCUUCUAUUUUUUGUUUUUUUUUUGAGAAGGUUCUUGCUCUGUCUCCCAGGCUGGAGUGCAGUGGUAUCAUCACAGCUAACUGGAGCCUCAACUUUGCUAGCUCAGGUGAUUCUCCCACCUCAGCCUCCUGAGUAGUCGAGACUACAGGCAUACAUGCCACCACACCGGCUAAUUUUUUGUAUUUUUUGCAGAGAUGGGGUUUUUUUCAUGUUGCCCAGGCUGGUCUUAAACUCCUGGAGUCAAGCCAUUCCCUUGCCUCAGCCUCCCAAAGUGCUGGGAUUACAGGUAUGAGCCACUGUGCCGAGCCUUAAAAAAGUUAAUGUAAAUAUAUUUGACAAUUUAAAAUUCUGUGUGUCGAAAGAAAGCAAAAACGUAAGCAUCCCACCAGAAUAAUACUUGUAAUACACUAAAGGGUUAACAAUUGUACUAUAUCAAAAGGCCUUACAAAUUAAUGAGAUAAAGCUGAGUGGGGUGGCUCACGCUAUAAUCCCAGAACUUUGGGAGGCUGAGGACAGUGAAUCGCUUGAGCCCACAGGUUUGAGGCCAGCCUGGGCAAUUUGGUGAAACAUCAUAUCUACAAAAAAACAAAACAAAAAUGCUUAAUGAGAUAAAUAUUAAACUGUAAUAGAAAAUCAUUGAUAGGAGAGAGAAAAAAUUUCCAGAAGAAAUGUACAUGUCUAAUAAAUAGAUGGAAACAUG